rnacentral:rRNA from 1 species
UUGACCACUCUGGAGACAGAGCUUUCCCUUCGGGGACAAAGUGACAGGUGGUGCAUGGUUGUCGUCAGCUCGUGUCGUGAGAUGUUGGGUUAAGUCCCGCAACGAGCGCAACCCUUGAUUUUAGUUGCCAGCAUUUAGUUGGGCACUCUAAAGUGACUGCCGGUGCAAGCCGGAGGAAGGUGGGGAUGACGUCAAAUCAUCAUGCCCCUUAUGACCUGGGCUACACACGUGCUACAAUGGAUAGUACAAAGGGUCGCGAAGCCGCGAGGUGGAGCUAAUCCCAUAAAACUAUUCUCAGUUCGGAUUGUAGGCUGCAACUCGCCUACAUGAAGCCGGAAUCGCUAGUAAUCGUGGAUCAGCAUGCCACGGUGAAUACGUUCCCGGGCCUUGUACACACCGCCCGUCACACCACGAGAGUUUGUAACACCCGAAGUCGGUAGGGUAACCUUUAUGGAGCCAGCCGCCGAAGGUGGGACAGAUAAUUGGGGUGAAGUCGUAACAAGGUAGCCGUAUCGGAAGGUGCGGCUGGAUCACCUCCUUUCUAAGGAA